rnacentral:rRNA from 1 species
GACGAACCGUGCGAACGUUGUUCGGAAUCACUGGGCUUAAAGGGCGCGUAGGCGGUCGUGACAAGUCACUUGUGAAAUCUCCGGGCUUAACUCGGAACGGUCAAGUGAUACUGUCGGACUAGAGUACAGAAGGGGCAACUGGAAUUCUCGGUGUAGCGGUGAAAUGCGUAGAUAUCGAGAGGAACACCUGCGGCGAAGGCGGGUUGCUGGGCUGAUACUGACGCUGAGGCGCGAAAGCCAGGGGAGCGAACGGG